rnacentral:rRNA from 1 species
UACAGAGGGUGCGAGCGUUAAUCGGAAUUACUGGGCGUAAAGCGCGCGUAGGCGGCUAUGCAAGUCGAGUGUGAAAUCCCCGGGCUCAACCUGGGAACUGCAUUCGAGACUGCAUUGCUUGAGUAUGGGAGAGGGAUGUGGAAUUCCAGGUGUAGCGGUGAAAUGCGUAGAUAUCUGGAGGAACACCGGUGGCGAAGGCGGCAUCCUGGACCGGUAUUGACGCUGAUGCGCGAAAGCCAGGGGAGCAAACGGG